AUGUUACAGUACCUAAACUCUCAUCAUAUUAUAUAUUAUAUAUAUAAUCUGUACAUCAAUAAUAUAAUAUAUUAUGAUACAUAUUAUCUCAAAAUAAUUUACAAUGUUUCCUUAAUUAUGAAAUUACUUGUUAAAUUAUUCAUUUUUAUAGAAUGUUUGCUCUUAACCUCACCUCACUACCCAAUUUCCUUGAUGGUUAUAUAACUAGCUUAAGAACUCUAUAUUUUUCCCAAUCCUUCUCGUACCCCAAUUGGUCACCGGAGAGAGAACAAAUGUCUAACGCAUCAGACUCACCUUCGACACCAACACAUAUGACUAGUCACAACUGACUGGACCAGGUCAGGGCUGCUCUAUGAUCAGGGAUGUGCAGCUCUAGUUUUUAGGUUCUCUCUAUCGUACAAACAGAGAAGGUUCCCACCAAGUAUUUUUAUUUGAUUUAAUCAACUAUCCUAUUUUUUUUUUCCUAAUUCCCAAAGUUAUACAUCCCUCUCACAAAACCUGAGGCUACACUCAACCCAUAAUUUCCCAUCAAAUCAGUAUCACCCACAACUUAUUACAGCAACCAGAUUCAUCAAUUUCCUUCAGAGCACAUCAUAACCAAUAUACAAACNNGAAUCAUUNNCAGGAUCAUCAAUUCAAUGAAAUUCAGUUCAGCAACACAAUUCCAGACAGAUUAUAACAAUCACAAUCAAACAUAGAGAAUGAACCAAAGGUUCAGAACAUUCCAAGACCAAAUACCUAAAACAGAGACAAUUAAAUAUCAAAUAAUAUAUCACAGUUAAAUUUAACAUGCAUAGAGCAUUAAAACAGAGUUAACCAGUGUACAAACGCAAUUCAACAUAUUUUCUCAUAAAUUCNGGAAUUAAUCAGAACAACAAAAUACUUAUAUAGUUAGCUCCCCUUACCUCUAGGUUGCCUUGUUCAGUUUACAGAGAACGCCCAC
rnacentral:lncRNA from 1 species